UACGUAGGGUGCAAGCGUUAUCCGGAAUUAUUGGGCGUAAAGAGCUCGUAGGCGGUUUGUCGCGUCUGCUGUGAAAACCCGAGGCUCAACCUCGGGCCUGCAGUGGGUACGGGCAGACUAGAGUGCGGUAGGGGAGAUUGGAAUUCCUGGUGUAGCGGUGGAAUGCGCAGAUAUCAGGAGGAACACCGAUGGCGAAGGCAGAUCUCUGGGCCGUAACUGACGCUGAGGAGCGAAAGCGUGGGGAGCGAACGGG
rnacentral:rRNA from 1 species